UGCAUGCGUUAUUCUAUCUCUAGCUAGGGGUUAAAUUGAAGUUCACAUGAAUAUGGAUUUUAUGAGGUUGAAUAAUUCAUUAUCAAUGUUUCUUUGCUUAAUUUGACAAAAUUGAACCAUUCUAGCCAGUGGCUUCCCUAAAAACAUUUUGAUGCAUGGUGGGUGUAAUGUGAAUUUGCAAUGUGGAGCGCAGCAUUGUUUCAUAGACUUAUUUUUGUUACACUAGUGAAAUGAAUUGUGCAUGUCAGUUUAAAAACUUCAUAUAAAUCUGCAAUACAGUCAGGAACAAUACUUAACAUUUUCUGCAAAGGCCAGCCUGGAUCCAAAAGUUUUUUUCAAGGGCCCUGUAGAAUUAUUUUUUGC
rnacentral:lncRNA from 1 species